AAAGCUCUCUGUCAUUACAACAAUUUCACAGCUUCUCACCACUUUCUCUCUUCUCUUAGCUUACCUCGGCAUUUCCGAAUUCUUAUUUCACUAGUAUAGAUUGGACAGGGAAAAUGAACAGGCCAGGAGACUGGAAUUGCAGGUCGUGCCAGCACUUGAACUUCCAGAGGAGAGAGUCAUGCCAGAGGUGCGGAGAAGCAAAGCCCGGAGAUAAUUAUGGCAGUUUCGGGCUGGGGAGGGCCGCCGGCGUUGGGCCGGACGUCAGGCCCGGCGACUGGUACUGCGCCGUCGGAAACUGCGGGACCCACAAUUUCGCCAGCCGCUCCAGCUGCUUCAAGUGCGGCGCCUUCAGGGAGGAUUACUCCUUCAGCGGCGGUGAGGUGGCCGCUGACUAUAUGUCGCGUCAGAGAGGAGGCUAUGGGUUCGCCGGCGGCAGCCGCUCUGGCUGGAAAUCCGGCGAUUGGAUUUGCACUAGGCCAGGGUGCAAUGAGCACAACUUUGCAAAUAGGAUGGAGUGUUUCCGAUGCAAUGCACCUCGUGACUCCGGUAACAAGUCCUACAAUUUCUGAUGAAUUAUUAAUAUAAUAAUUCAUCAUUGAUUCUCAAUUUUUAGGUUUCGCAUCUAAGAGAGAAUCAAGAAAGGCGAUUCAGUCAAGAAAUGAUUAUUAGAGCUCAUGCCCUUUACUGCCAACAUUAUUGUUUUCCCUAGUUUUUUGUUCUUUUUUUUUUUAAUUUCUAUUUUUUUUUUAAAAUUAUAUUAUUCUAUAUAUCUUCUAGCUAGGCAACUUUAGACUAUUUUAUCACCAAAAAGAGUGAGGAUCUGAAACUGAGUAGUACCUUUUAAUUAUGCAUUUGUUUACUUCAUGUAGUGGAAGUGUCAAACACAGCUAGCUUUUGUACUUCUGCUUGUUUCACUUUAUUUAAUAUUAGUGAGUGUUAUUAAUUAAAA